GUGAGGAAUAUUGGUCAAUGGGCGGGAGCCUGAACCAGCCAAGUCGCGUGAAGGAAGAAGGAUCUAUGGUUCGUAAACUUCUUUUGCAGGGGAAUAAAGUGCAGGACGUGUCCUGUUUUGUAUGUACCCUGAGAAUAAGGAUCGGCUAACUCCGUGCCAGCAGCCGCGGUAAUACGGAGGAUCCGAGCGUUAUCAGGAUUUAUUGGGUUUAAAGGGUGCGUAGGUAGUUUGAUAAGUCAGCGGUGAAAGUUUGCAGCUUAACUGUAAAAAUGCCGUUGAAACUGUCGGACUUGAGUGUAAAUGAGGUAGGCGGAAUGCGUGGUGUAGCGGUGAAAUGCAUAGAUAUCACGCAGAACUCCGAUUGCGAAGGCAGCUUACUAAGCUACAACUGACACUGAAGCACGAAAGCGUGGGGAUCAAACAGGAUUAGAUACCCGUGUAGUCC
rnacentral:rRNA from 1 species